rnacentral:rRNA from 1 species
UACGGGGGGUGCAAGCGUUGUCCGGAAUCACUGGGCGUAAAGGGUGCGUAGGCGGUUUGGUAAGUCUUAUGUGAAAUCUACAGGCUCAACUUGUAGUCUGCAUGAGAAACUGCCGGGCUUGAGUAUGGGAGAGGUGAGUGGAAUUCCUGGUGUAGCGGUGAAAUGCGUAGAUAUCAGGAGGAACACCUGUGGCGAAAAGCGGCUCACUGGACCAUAACUGACGCUGAUGCACGAAAGCUAGGGGAGCAAACAGG